UACGGGGGGGGCAAGCGUUGUUCGGAAUUACUGGGCGUAAAGGGCUCGUAGGCGGCCAACUAAGUCGGAUGUGAAAUCCCCAGGCUUAACCUGGGAACUGCAUCCGAUACUGGAUGGCUUGAAUCCGGGAGAGGGAUGCGGAAUUCCAGGUGUAGCGGUGAAAUGCGUAGAUAUCUGGAGGAACACCGGUGGCGAAGGCGGCGUCCUGGACCAACACUGACACUGAUGAGCGAAAGCCAGGGGAGCAAACGGG
rnacentral:rRNA from 1 species